GGAGGCAAGCCGGCACUGGUGCGACGCGGCCCGACAGGUAAGGACCCACGGUCAGUCGGAGAUGGGCUGAUGCGCGGACACCAUGGGAGGGCAAAGAGUGGAGCGGAGGGGCGGCGGGUUGGAGGGUGACUCCGGAGUGAGCAUGGGGGCAGAGUGGGAGGGACGAAGGUUCCUUUCAGCUUGGUGGACCAGGGGCCGGCGGCUGACCCAACCCUCUGCAGCACCUGCCGAGCACCCAAAUGCAGACGCAGACACUCUGGAGAAGCAUCAAGCGGAGAACCGAGCCCCCGACUCCAUUUCCCGAGGCUGAGCGGCUCCUGCGCCAUCCUUUCAAGAAAGUGGGGAGAAGGUGCUGGCGUCUCAGGAGACGCGCCCCCUCAUUUUCUCCCCUGUCCGCAGAGCGGUGACUCAGCCUAGAUGGCCCCGACUGACUGAGCCAGGCCGCCCACGACAGACAGACACACACCUCGGCCCUGCGGCUCUCUUGGGACCCCCGUCCCGCAUGCUGCCCACACGCCCCUUCCCUGUCCCGUCCCGUCCCGUCCCAUCCGACUGUCCCACUGAGCUCAGGACUUCCCGCCUCUGCAAGCGGAGCUGUCCUCUCAGGACCAGGCGGGGGCGGGGCUUCGACCAGGCCGCCCCGCCCUACCCCCCCACCGCUCCCCACCGCCGGAAGUGCCUCCCCACUGGGACAUCUUUGACGUCACAGGACUCUGACGUCACGGUCGCGUGUCUGUCCGCGCGCGCUUGGGCGGAGGGAGGGGACCUGAGAAGCAGCAUCACUCUCAACUGCGGGCGACGGGAUAUCCCCGCCCGGGCAGCGCGCCGGCACCUUGGCUCUAGACUGCUUACUGCCCGGGCCGCC
rnacentral:misc_RNA from 1 species